UACGUAGGGUGCGAGCGUUAAUCGGAAUUACUGGGCGUAAAGCGUGCGCAGGCGGUUGGUUAAGUCUGAUGUGAAAGCCCCGAGCUCAACUUGGGAAUGGCAUUGGAAACUGGCUGGCUAGAGUGUGGCAGAGGUGAGUGGAAUUCCGAGUGUAGAGGUGAAAUUCGUAGAUAUUCGGAGGAACACCAGUGGCGAAGGCGGCUCACUGGUCCGGUACUGACGCUGAGGUGCGAAAUCGUGGGGAGCAAACAGG
rnacentral:rRNA from 1 species